CACGUAGGGGGCAAGCGUUGUCCGGAUUUAUUGGGCGUAAAGAGCUCGUAGGCGGCUUAGUAAGUCGGGUGUGAAACCUCCAGGCUCAACCUGGAGACGCCACCCGAUACUGCUGUGGCUUGAGUCCGGUAGGGGAGCGUGGAAUUCCUGGUGUAGCGGUGAAAUGCGCAGAUAUCAGGAGGAACACCAGCGGCGAAGGCGGCGCUCUGGGCCGGAACUGACGCUGAGGAGCGAAAGCGUGGGUAGCAAACAGG
rnacentral:rRNA from 1 species